UAGGGAAUCUUCGGCAAUGGGGGGAACCCUGACCGAGCAACGCCGCGUGAGUGAAGAAGGUUUUCGGAUCGUAAAGCUCUGUUGUUAAGGAAGAACGAGUGUGAGAAUGGAAAGUUCAUGCUGUGACGGUACUUAACCAGAAAGGGACGGCUAACUACGUGCCAGCAGUCGCGGUAAUACGUAGGUCCCGAGCGUUGUCCGGAUUUAUUGGGCGUAAAGCGAGCGCAGGCGGUUAGAAAAGUCUGAAGUGAAAGGCAGUGGCUCAACCAUUGUAGGCUUUGGAAACUGUUUAACUUGAGUGCAGAAGGGGAGAGUGGAAUUCCAUGUGUAGCGAUGAAAUGCGUAGAUAUAUGGAGGAACACCGGUGGCGAAAGCGGCUCUCUGGUCUGUAACUGACGCUGAGGCUCGAAAGCGUGGGGAGCGAACAGG
rnacentral:rRNA from 1 species